rnacentral:rRNA from 1 species
CAGCAGCCACGGGAAUACGGAGGGUGCAAGCGUUACUCGGAAUCACUGGGCGUAAAGGACGCGUAGGCGGAUUAUCAAGUCUCUUGUGAAAUCUAACGGCUUAACCGUUAAACUGCCUGGGAAACUGAUAAUCUAGAGUAAGGGAGAGGCAGAUGGAAUUCUUGGUGUAGGGGUAAAAUCCGUAGAGAUCAAGAAGAAUACCCAUUGCGAAAGCGAUCUGCUGGAACUUAACUGACGCUAAUGCGUGAAAGCGUGGGGAGCAAACAGGAUUAGAUACCCCGGUAGUCCCUGUCUCUUAUAC